rnacentral:rRNA from 1 species
UACGUAGGGUGCAAGCGUUGUCCCGGAAUUAUUGGGCGUAAAGAGCUCGUAGGCGGUUUGUCGCGUCUGCUGUGAAAACUCAGGGCUUAACCCUGAGCCUGCAGUGGGUACGGGCAGACUAGAGUGUGGUAGGGGAGAUCGGAAAUUCCCGGUGUAGAGGUGAAAUUCGUAGAUAUCGGGAGGAACACCGGUGGCGAAGGCGGCGAUCUGGGUCGAUACUGACGCUGAGGUGCGAAAGCGUGGGGAGCAACAGG